UAACAAGUUGCAAAAUAAUAUAAUAAUUCUUUUGGAUGAAAUAAUGUCAAAAUGUGUUCUAACGUUGAUGAAGAAAGCUAGAACUUAUGGAAAUAGAUCAUUUUGCAAUAACUAUAUUGAGUAGAGUAAUAUAGGAACAUAAGUGUCACAUGCAGCAAAUAUCGAUUUGGUAGAUCAGUUGAAAGGCGAUCGUUUUAAGAGAUUAGUAGAAUAAAUAGCCUAAUAGAAUCGCAAAGAAAACUACUUUUAUGAAAAAAACUUAUUAUGUUUUUGUAUGCUUUAAUUGUAAAUAAACACAAAAUGUUAAAA